rnacentral:lncRNA from 1 species
CCUGAGUUUGCAAAACAGACUCAUUAAAAGACAAGGAUGUUGAUGAUGGCAUGAAAGAGAGAGAGAGAGAGAGAGAGAGUGGGGAAAAGCUAAACCUCUCUGGUGUAGAACUUGACAGCAAAACCACGAGGAUCUCUGAGAGUCUCGGGGCUGCCGCGCUCGUGGAUCACAGUAGAGAAACGAACAAUGACAGGAGUCUGGACGCCAGGUCCUCGGAGAAAAUCAGCACAGGUAAGGUGGGUAAUGUCAUGGGUGACUUCAAAGAAACCUUUAGCACUAGCACCUCUGGCAUGAACAACUCUUUCAGGAAUCCGCUCCCUGUCAAAGUUGGCUAAUUUCUCAAGCAGAUGAUAGUCUUCCAGAAGAAUAGGGCCUGGCAAGUUACAAAAAUUAUAGCUUUCACAAGAAAGCUGAUUCACAAAAGUCCAAAAAAUGAAUGGAGACAUUCUCAUUUAAAUGUUUACUGCAAGAGAUAAGAAAGACGCACCUCUGGUUCCAGCAGUCAAAGAGGAGUUGUUGUUCCAGACAGGAGCACCCGAGUUUGUCGUGAAGAAGGGCGAAUCAUGAGCGCUUGAAGGACGAACCUGCACCCCCAAACGAUUGAUGAUAACAUGACAGAAUAAUAAACAAAUCAAGAGGGUCCAGAAGCAUCCGAGGCCGAAACCCUAGACAUUGCCGCGGCCGAUCCUGAAACCCUAGAGAUGGCCGUGACCGAACCUAAGGCCUUAGACAGGGCCGAGGAACCUAAUGUGCCUAAUACUGAUGCUUGGGACGCUAAGCUUCAUGGUACUGAUGGUCCUGAUAAUAAUGAGAUCUCAAUAAAUUAUGUCUUGUCUGGGAUACAAUAGAACAGAAAGAAUGUCGACAUUGUUGAUAUAUUUGCAUAUAAGGUAGCACUUGAACUUAUGGAUUUAAACGAGGAUCAUGAACCCACGUCUAUUUAUGAGUGCACUCAACGAUCAGAUUGGAUCAAAUGGAAAGAAGCUAUAAACGUGGAGUUAAAUUCUUUAAAGAAAAGAGGUGUCUUCGGUCCUAUAAUCCGGACACCCUAUGAUGUCAAACCAGUUGGAUACAAAUUGGUCUUUGUGAGGAAAAGAAACGAACAUGGUGAAGUAGUGAGAUAUAAAGCAUGGCUUGUUGCACAAGGAUUCUCACAGAGACCAGAAAUAGACUAUGAGGAGACAUACUCCCCUGUGGUGGAUGCUACUACUUUUAGAUUCCUGAUAAGUCUGGCUAUAAGAGAAAACUUAGACUUGCGGUUAAUGGAUGUAGUAACUGCAUACUUAUAUGGUUCACUGGAUAAUGAGAUAUAUAUGAAAGUACCAGAGGGGUAUUGAAUUGAAAAACAAAGCAAGUUCUCGAGAACAAUAUUGUAUAAAGUUGAACAAAUCACUUUAUGAAUUGAAACAAUCAGGUCGAAUGUGGUACAAUAGACUAAGUGAGUACCUAGUGAAAGAGGGCUAUAAGAAUGACCUCUAUGUUUUUUUAUAAAGAAAUUCGACAAUAAAGGAUUUGUGAUCAUAGCAGUGUAUGUUGAUGAUUUGAAUAUCCUAGGAACCUCUGGAGAGAUUUCCCAAACAGUUGAAUAUCUUAAGAAAGAAUUUGAGAUGAAAGAUCUUGGAAAAACAAAGUUCUGUUUGGGAUUACAGCUUGUGUACAUUAGAGAUGGAAUCCUUGUGCAUCAAAUGACAUAUACAGAGAAAGUACUCAAAAGAUUCAAUAUGGCCGAGUCUCACUCAUUGUCUAGCCCCAUGGUCGUGAGGUCUCUCGGACUGGACACAGAUCCGUUCGGCCCUAAGAAUGACGAUGAAGAUGUCCUUGGUCCCGAAGUGCCAUAUCUCAGUGCCAUUGGAGCUUUGAUGCAUCUGACUAGUCACACACGGCCAGACAUAUGCUUUGCAGUGAACCUACUAUCUAGGUUUAGCUCUUGUCCGACCUAAAGGCACUAGAAUGAGAUUAAACAUAUACUUCGUUACCUGCAAGGAACGAAAGACUUGUGUUUAUUUUAUACUAACCAAAACAAAGAAGGUUUAGUUGGUUUUGCUAAUGCAGGUUAUCUUUCGUAUCCACACAAUGCUCAAUCACAGACAUGCUAUGUGUUCACACAUGGUGGAACGGCCAUAUCAUGGCGUUCCAUGAAACAGACGAUCACGGCCACAUCUUCAAACCAUUCGGAGAUCUUAGCUAUUCAUGAAGCCAGCCGCGAGUGUGUUUGGUUGAGGUCCAUGACCCAACAUGUUCGAGUUGAUUGUGGGAUGUCCGAAGGUAAGGAUGCACCAACCGUGAUGUAUGAAGACAAUGCAGCAUGCAUUGUUCAGCUCAAGGACGGUUACAUCAAAGGAGAUAGGACGAAGCACAUCCCACCCAAGUUCUUCUUCACGUAUGAACUUCAGAAAGCCGGCGAGGUUCAAGUGGUCCAAAUGCGUUCCAGUGACAACUCAGCUGAUCUAUUUACCAAGUCACUUCCUACCUCGACGUUCAGGAAGCUCAUGUAUCAGAUAGGUAUACGUAGACUGAAAGACCUUCAGUGAUGUUCAUAACAGGGGGAAUAAUACGUGUUGUACUCUUUUUUCUCCACCAUGAUUUUGUCCCAUUGGGUUUUCCUGGUAAGAUUUUAAUGAGGCAAUAUCCAAAGCGUAUUACGAACUCUGUAUGGUUAUGACAUCCAAGGAAGAGUUUUAUAAAUCAUAUUGUGGAUGUUCAUAACCGGUCCGGUCCAUAACCGGUUCAUACCGUUAGAGAGAGAGAGACGGCUAGAGAGAGAGUUGGCCACAUUUGGUUUUUCUUUUUCUUUAUUGGUUUAUGAUUUGUACUAUUUUUUUUUCUAGUCUUUCAAUUAUUCUAUGACGGUGUAAUUCUCUAUAUAUAAAUGGUUCAUUAUGUUUAAAGAUUAAUAAGAAUAUAGAGAUUUUAUUCUCCAAGUUUCACGACAAAAAACCUUUUCUUUAAUCAUUGAUCGUGCGUCUGACAUUAGACCACAAUAAAAUUACAACUAUAAGCAGCUCACGUCAUAGAUGCAAAUCUGGAGGAAAUAAUAAGCACACUUAAAAUUUAAUCCAGAGCAAAAUAUAAUAACAAAUAAAUACCAUUUCGAGUAGAACUAGUUAUGGAUUAUAUAUAUCACGUUAUAAGCUUACAUAGCUUUUUAUUAUUUGCCUUAGAAAAUAUUCGUUGACAUUGUGAAUAGAAAGAUUACAACAUGUACUAGAAGUACCCUUCCUUAAACAUUUCAUUGUCACGGUUUAUUUAAAUGAACUAUUACCAAAGAGCUUACAUAGAAACCAAACCACAAUAAAAGAUCACUUAGUCUUUCGAGAUGAUACCAUUCAGUACUUAGGCCUCACGUUAAGACGGGAAGCUAGUUUCUGUCCCAGCGAUUUGUCUGCCUGAGUCCAGUAAGAUAUCCAAAUGCUGCGAAUCUCGUGCGUCACGCGAGGCUCCGCAAGUGCUUCAACAAAACGCUUCACGAAACGCUCUUGCCUUUUACCCGGAAAGAAAAAAAAACAAUUAGAAUUUUAUGAAAUGUGUGAAGCUUUGUGGAUUUUGCAAUGAGUUUUGUAGUGUCUACCUGUCUGCGUCCCAGGACCUGUAUCGUUCCCCUGGCUGCUGAAAGUUGUUCUCCUUCUCAAUCAUGCACUGUCGUAUACAGAAGAUAGUAUAAAAAACAUUUUAAUCUCACAAUGUUAAAAGGAUUUGUGUCAAGGCAUGGAGCGGAAUAUGACCUUCUCACGAUUUCCAGAGCAGAAAACAGGAGUUGUUGGGUAUUUGUCAGCAUGGCGAACCGGAUUCAACCUUGAAGGGAAGUAAUUAACCUGGAAAGCAACUCAACCGGUUCAUAUAAUCAAACUAUAAAAAAUAAGAUUGUGAAUAAGCGUUUGAAUGAGCUGAUUACCUCCUCAUCUCGGUGCAUGAAGUUCAUGAAACCUUCAUGGUGAUUGUUGUGGUGAGCACAUUUUGGAGCAUUAACCGGCAGCUGCAGAUAGUUUGGUCCAAGACGGUGUCUCUGACUAUCAGCGUAGGAGAAGAUCCUGGUCUGGAGCAGCUUAUCAUCUGAGUAAUGGACGCCAGGAACGACAAUAGCAGGGCAGAAAGCAAUCUGCUCAUUCUCGUUAAAGAAGUUGUCGAUGUUUUUGUUCAGCACCAAGCGGCCAACAGGCUGCAGAGGCAAGAUAUCUUCAGGCCAGAUCUUGGUGACAUCAAGAGGGUCGAAGUCAAACUUGUCUUCAUGAGCAGGAUCCAUCACUUGAACGAAGAGAUUCCACUCUGGAUAGUUCCCAGAAGCGAUUGAGUCAUAGAGAUCCUUGGUUGCAUGGCUGUGGUUGGAUCCUCCGACCUUGAUAGCUUCCUCAUCAAGGAGGCAUUUAACCCCACAAGACGGUUUCCAGUGGAACUUGACGUAGUGAGCUUUUCCGGCUUUGUUGAUAAGCAUGUAGGUGUUGACACCAAAGCCAUCCAUGUGCCUGUAGUCCUGUGGGAUACCGAGAUCGUCAAAGAGGAACGAAAACAUGUGAAGACUCUCAGGGUGGUGUGAGAAGAAGUCCAGUAUCCUCCAGUUCUCCUGAAUGUGGGAUUUGGGGUUCGGUUUCAAGGCGUGGACCAUGUCAGGGAACUUCAUCCCGUCGCGGACGAAGAAGACAGGGAAGUUGUUGCCAACAAGAUCAAAGUUCCCCUGAGUUUGCAAAACAGACUCAUUAAAAGACAAGGAUGUUGAUGAUGGCAUGAAAGAGAGAGAGAGAGAGAGAGAGAGUGGGGAAAAGCUAAACCUCUCUGGUGUAGAACUUGACAGCAAAACCACGAGGAUCUCUGAGAGUCUCGGGGCUGCCGCGCUCGUGGAUCACAGUAGAGAAACGAACAAUGACAGGAGUCUGGACGCCAGGUCCUCGGAGAAAAUCAGCACAGGUAAGGUGGGUAAUGUCAUGGGUGACUUCAAAGAAACCUUUAGCACUAGCACCUCUGGCAUGAACAACUCUUUCAGGAAUCCGCUCCCUGUCAAAGUUGGCUAAUUUCUCAAGCAGAUGAUAGUCUUCCAGAAGAAUAGGGCCUGGCAAGUUACAAAAAUUAUAGCUUUCACAAGAAAGCUGAUUCACAAAAGUCCAAAAAAUGAAUGGAGACAUUCUCAUUUAAAUGUUUACUGCAAGAGAUAAGA